CCUACGGGAGGCAGCAGUGAGGAAUAUUGGUCAAUGGACGAGAGUCUGAACCAGCCAAGUAGCGUGAAGGAUGACUGCCCUAUGGGUUGUAAACUUCUUUUAUAUGGGAAUAAAAUGUUCCACGUGUGGGAUUUUGUAUGUACCAUAUGAAUAAGGAUCGGCUAACUCCGUGCCAGCAGCCGCGGUAAUACGGAGGAUCCGAGCGUUAUCCGGAUUUAUUGGGUUUAAAGGGAGCGUAGGUGGAUUGUUAAGUCAGUUGUGAAAGUUUGCGGCUCAACCGUAAAAUUGCCGUUGAAACUGGCAGUCUUGAGUACAGUAGAGGUGGGCGGAAUUCGUGGUGUAGCGGUGAAAUGCUUAGAUAUCACGAAGAACUCCGAUUGCGAAGGCAGUUCACUGGACUGCAACUGACACUGAGGCUCGAAAGUGUGGGUAUCAAACAGGAUUAGAUACCCGUGUAGUC
rnacentral:rRNA from 1 species